AGUGCAAUUUCUAUACCAUAUAGUAACUCUUUAACUGUUUGAGAAACUGCUAGAAUGUUUUCUAAAGGAGCUGAGCUAUUUUACAUUUGCAUCAGCAGU
rnacentral:pre_miRNA from 1 species